rnacentral:lncRNA from 1 species
AGAUCCAGAGUCAGAGCUAAGCUAUUGGAGCCAGAGCGCGGAGCCACAUGCCAGAGACAAUUCGCCAGAAGGCGGAGCUACUUAGCAGAGCGGAGCCAAAGAGUAGAAGUCUACCCCAAGGAAGGAAAUCCAGAGCUACUAGACAGAGCAGGAUGAUGAGGACAGAAUCCAGCUCUGUAAUUAGGGGACAACGACCUGACAAGUUAUAAUCUAAUAAUAGCCUUAAUUAGUUUAAUGGCGAGCAUGCGGAAUAGAUGACCAAACGAAUUUACUACUUUACCC